UAAGAGCCUACCAAGGCAUCGAUCGGUAGCUGGUCUGAGAGGACGAUCAGCCACACAGGGAUUGAGAACGGCCCAGACUCCUACGGGGGGCAGCAGUGAGUUAAUUUUCGGCAAUGGGGGCAACCCUGACCGAGCAACGCCGCGUGCAGGAAGAAGGUUUUCGGAUCGUAAACUGCUUUUCUCGGGGAAGAGAACGGACGGUACCCGAGGAAGAUGCCCCGGCUAACUACGUGCCAGCAGCCGCGGUAAUACGUAGGGGGCGAGCGUUGUCCGGAGUUACUGGGCGUAAAGGGCACGCAGGCGGUCGUGUAAGUUUGGGGUUACAGCUCCCGGCUCAACUGGGAGAGCGCCUUGAAGACUGCAGGACUUGAGGGCCAGAGAGGGACACAGAAUUCCGGGUGUAGUGGUGAAAUG
rnacentral:rRNA from 1 species